CCGCCCUGGCUCGCCUGCUCUCGCGUUGCCAUGGCACUGGCGGGGCGGGAGGCUGCAGGUCGCGGUGGGGUCUGUCACGGCCCCGCCGGGAGGCACAGGGCGGCCCGCGGUCCCCGUUCCUGCCGCCUCAUCUCUGCGGUUUCCACCUCGUCCAGCCAGGUCCCCGCUGUCCGCUCUGCUAGUCCCGCAGCGCUCGGUCGCCACGGCACGGUGCUCAGCGUCUCCUCAGGGUGCUCGGCCCUCGGCGGCCCGGCCCCACGCAGCCCUCCGCCGGGCUCGGCCGUCCCACCCUGUCAGUGCCUAACUGCUGCUUCUCUCUCUCCCUUCAGUCAAAGUGUUAGAAGAACCUGCCUCCCACUUUAAAACUUGUAAUUUUUCUUAGAAGGGAUUGUUUUAAAUACCCGAAACCAGCAGUGGAACGGACUGUAACUGAGACAGCCCAUCUCUGACCGUGUGCGUGGCUGGGGGAAGCCGGCUGUUGAAGGCUUUAUGGCGGAUGUCGGCCAGCAGAAGGGAGCUGGAGAGGUGAUGAGUAUCUCGGGUCUUGAAUGAGCAGGCAUGUGACAUAGAGGUGUUUCACCUCUGCUGGUCCUCGAUCGAGUCAAAGCCAGGAGAUCCCCGAGUCCGACCUUCCCACUGUGUGUCACGUCACAGUUACAACAACAGGGAUGGUAACAACAUCUGCUGGGUACAAUGGCACCAGUUACAUACCGACAGGGAAGCGCCUUACCGUUGUACCGGGGAAUGGACGGACAUGCAACCGAAGAAUGUGCUUAUAGAUCAGGCUGUGCAUUAUUCCAGACAUUUUUUCUUCCCACUCUUUGUAUCUCCUUUUUCCCCUCUCACUUUUCACUUCUCUCUGCAUUUUACCCACUACAUUGGCAUAGGCAGGCUCCACUUCCCAGUUUGCUUUCGAUGCUGA